rnacentral:rRNA from 1 species
AUGCUUAGGAAUCUGCCUAUUAGUGGGGGACAACAUUCCGAAAGGAAUGCUAAUACCGCAUACGCCCUACGGGGGAAAGCAGGGGAUCUUCGGACCUUGCGCUAAUAGAUGAGCCUAAGUCAGAUUAGCUAGUUGGUGGGGUAAAGGCCUACCAAGGCGACGAUCUGUAGCGGGUCUGAGAGGAUGAUCCGCCACACUGGGACUGAGACACGGCCCAGACUCCUACGGGAGGCAGCAGUGGGGAAUAUUGGACAAUGGGCGAAAGCCUGAUCCAGCCAUGCCGCGUGUGUGAAGAAGGCCUUUUGGUUGUAAAGCACUUUAAGCGAGGAGGAGGCUACCGAGAUUAAUACUCUUGGAUAGUGGACGUUACUCGCAGAAUAAGCACCGGCUAACUCUGUGCCAGCAGCCGCGGUAAUACAGAGGGUGCGAGCGUUAAUCGGAUUUACUGGGCGUAAAGCGUGCGUAGGCGGCUUUUUAAGUCGGAUGUGAAAUCCCUGAGCUUAACUUAGGAAUUGCAUUCGAUACUGGGAAGCUAGAGUAUGGGAGAGGAUGGUAGAAUUCCAGGUGUAGCGGUGAAAUGCGUAGAGAUCUGGAGGAAUACCGAUGGCGAAGGCAGCCAUCUGGCCUAAUACUGACGCUGAGGUACGAAAGCAUGGGGAGCAAACAGGAUUAGAUACCCUGGUAGUCCAUGCCGUAAACGAUGUCUACUAGCCGUUGGGGCCUUUGAGGCUUUAGUGGCGCAGCUAACGCGAUAAGUAGACCGCCUGGGGAGUACGGUCGCAAGACUAAAACUCAAAUGAAUUGACGGGGGCCCGCACAAGCGGUGGAGCAUGUGGUUUAAUUCGAUGCAACGCGAAGAACCUUACCUGGUCUUGACAUAGUAAGAACUUUCCAGAGAUGGAUUGGUGCCUUCGGGAACUUACAUACAGGUGCUGCAUGGCUGUCGUCAGCUCGUGUCGUGAGAUGUUGGGUUAAGUCCCGCAACGAGCGCAACCCUUUUCCUUAUUUGCCAGCGGGUUAAGCCGGGAACUUUAAGGAUACUGCCAGUGACAAACUGGAGGAAGGCGGGGACGACGUCAAGUCAUCAUGGCCCUUACGACCAGGGCUACACACGUGCUACAAUGGUCGGUACAAAGGGUUGCUACCUAGCGAUAGGAUGCUAAUCUCAAAAAGCCGAUCGUAGUCCGGAUUGGAGUCUGCAACUCGACUCCAUCAAGUCGGAAUCGCUAGUAAUCGCGGACAGAAUGCCGCGGAACUG